CAUCACAAAAGGAUUUACAUUGAAAGUAAAGACAUGAUAUUACAUUCCAAAAUGGUAAUUCAUAAACAGGAGAAUUCCUACAUCUAACGAUCUGCAUCACCUCGUGGCAUACCUGUUUCAACAACAACCAUAUUAAUUAACUUUAUCAUUAUAUUAAUCUAAUAUUAAAUAAUUACUCUUAACCUUUGAAAUUUAGUACUUCCACUUCAAUCUAACUUACUCCUAUAAUUUACAUAAUCUUUUUAGGAUUUAAAAAUCCCACUAAUUCCUCUUAAUUACCAAAUACAUCUAACACUUCCAUAUAGAUACCCAAAAUUCAUUUUUUUCUUCCUCGGUUACCAAUAGACCCAGUAAUUCCAUUCGAAUUACCUAUCAUCCAGCUAACCUCUUUUGUUAGCCAAUCAAUCCGGUAAUUCCAUAUGAAUUACUCCUUAUCCAGUUAACCUCUUUGUUAACCAAUAAACCCGUAAUUCUCUUUAUUACCCAAAAAUCCGACUAACCCAUUUCGGUUAGCAAAAUCAAUCCGGUAAUUCCAUAUGAAUCACCCAGUAUCCGGCUAAUCUCUUUUGUUAGCCAAUCAAUCCGGUAAUUCCAUUCGAAUUACCUAGCAUCCGACUAAUCUCUUGUAUUAGUCAAACAAUCCGGUAAUUCCAUACGAAUUACCCCAUAUCCGGUUAACCUCUUUGUUAACCAAUAAAACCGGUAAUUUCACAUAAUCAUAACUCAAAUUAUUCCUUUGCUCCAUUCAUUUAAUAUCAAUUAAAUAAGCAACAUAGAUAAUUAGGAAAACUAAAAAUCACAAAAUGAGGUGACGAAUUCACCUACCUUCUGUUCGGGAUGACCCAGCUCCUCCUGUCUGAUAACCAGCUCCAGACACAACUCCUGAAUCAAUCAAGUGUCAUUAUAUCAUUAGUCCAUCAAUAUUUUUUUCUUAUGUGCCGAAACAUAAAGCACAUAAUAUUUUUAUUAGUAAUUUGUUCUAAUAAAAAUUCAUUCUCAAAUAUAACAUCAUUAUUUUACAUACAACCUCAUAUUUAACUCAAGUUACUUCUUUGUUUUCUCUAUGUUCAUAAUUCCUCCAUCGAAUAAUUCUUCUAUUCUUUAUACCCUCACAUCAUAUUAUUUAUUUUAUUUAAAUACUAUAUUCAAACACAAUCUAGGCAUCUUGUCUUCAUAUUUUCUUUUAACUAGUUUAUUUCUCUUUUAAUUUGAAUUUACAUAUUAUUAUUUUCUCAACUUAAAUGCUAUCUCUUCAUUUAGUCUUUCUUACAUUUUCAUUUAUCAUGAUUAAACAUGGUUUUUUUCUAAACAUUAACAUCAAAACUCAUUCUCCCAUUUUUUUUUUUUUCCCUUCAUUGGCCGAAUGUGAUGGUUCUUUUUCCUCCCCCAAAUCUUUCUUCAUUUACUUGUUAUUUCAACUUGUUUUCAUUCUAUUCCUCUUCAAUUUCAUCAUUUUCCCUUCCCCUCCUAAUUCCCCCAAAUUCACAUAAGAACCCUAAGUUCAAUAAUCUAGGAUUUAAGGGAAACUAAGGUAAAGUUCCAUGAAAUUACUUCCUAAUUUAAUCAAAUAAGCUUAGGAAAAACAUCUAAACCAACAUUAAAUCCAAACUUCUCAUGCUUACCUAUUGCUUUUCUUCCAAUUUCUCUUCUCUUCCAAGGUUAGCUGAAUUCCCCUUCUCAAAUCCUCCUUCCUUCACUUGAUUUAGUGUUUUAUAGGUUUAACUUGCAAGUUUAUAAAGCUAUUCUCUCAAUUUCCUUAUUGUUUUUCCUUACUUUUCUCUCUAUCUCUCACGUUAUGCUCUGUUUUUCUUUUCAUCUUUUUGUUUCUG
rnacentral:lncRNA from 1 species